GACGAACGCUGGCGGCGUGCCUAACACAUGCAAGUCGAACGGGGGUAUUUAUUUCGAUGAAUACCUUAGUGGCGAACGGGUGAGUAACGCGUGAGCAACCUAUCCUUAAGAGGGGGAUAACAUCUGGACACAGAUGCUAAUACCGCAUAAGACCACACUGCCGCAUGGCAGAGGGGUCAAAGGAGCAAUCCGUUUAAGGAGGGGCUCGCGUCCCAUUAGAUAGUUGGUGAGGUAACAGCUCACCAAGUCAGCGAUGGGUAGCCGAGCUGAGAGGCUGAUCGGCCAAACUGGAACUGAGACACGGUCCAGACUCCUACGGGAGGCAGCAGUGGGGAAUAUUGGGCAAUGGGGGGAACCCUGACCCAGCAACGCCGCGUGAGGGAAGAAGGCCUUCGGGUUGUAAACCUCUGUCAUUAGGGAAGAAGAAAGUGACGGUACCUAAUGAGGAAGCCCCGGCUAACUACGUGCCAGCCGCCGCCGUAA
rnacentral:rRNA from 1 species